AAUCAGAAAUCGUUUGAUUCUCGGGAGAGGAAGACCCUUCCACAUUUGGUCUUAACUCGGAGUGUGAGGGUGUGGUUCUCGUAGGCCAUUACUUUGGGUGUAUGUUGCAGGCUGUGUAGUGCAGGCACAGCGGAGUCUUAAUCCCCAUCGUUGGCAGGCUGGAUCCAGGCAGCACAGGCCAGGUAAAGCCACCACAUCUGCCCUCAUCUCACCAGGCACGACUGUUCCAAAGAACUGGACGAGCUGGGCUCGUACUUCAUCCUUGAACUCAGAGUUCGUGACUUGUGAUUCAUCGUAGCAAUCUUGUGGCUCUCAGCCCUCAUCAUUUCGUCCGCGAAUCUGGACUGGCAUUUCGUCGAGAGUUCGCUCGCUUUACUUCGCGUCGUCGAAGCCACCGCAGUUCGCUCUUAGACGACUAUAUUCAUCGGACCAACGAUAGUCAUUGACGAUGUCGAAGGGGUCCUUAUUCUGAACUAUUUAAAUUAUAACCAGAUUAGAUAUACUACGGUCCAGUGUAGGUAUUCAUCCAAGUAUAAACCCUCUUUUGAUGAAACUUAAUU
rnacentral:lncRNA from 1 species